GUGCCAGCCGCCGCGAUAAUACGUAGGGGGCGAGCGUUGUCCGGAUUUAUUGGGCGUAAAGAGCUCGUAGGCGGUUCAACAAGUCGGUCGUGAAAGUUCAGGGCUCAACCCUGAAAUGUUGAUCGAUACUGUUGUGACUAGGAUACGGUAGAGGUGAGUGGAAUUCCGAGUGUAGCGGUGAAAUGCGUAGAUAUUCGGAAGAACACCAAUUGCGAAGGCAGCUCACUGGGCCGCUAUCGACGCUGAGGAGCGAAAGCUAGGGGAGCAAACAGGAUUAGAUA
rnacentral:rRNA from 1 species